CCUUACCGCAGGUUGAAUAACCCAGUCCCGGAUGAUCACCAAAGUUAAGCAACGUCGAGGGUGGUCAGUAUCUAGAUGGGUGACCACUUGGGAAUGCCAGGUGCUGUAGG